AGCUGAAACCCAGAUAAGCACAGGGAGUUUAGGAGCGAGUGUUUGGCUGCGCGCUGAGCGUGUUCCUGCUCUGUGGCCCAGGUUUCCUGUCCAACUGGCUGCCCGGUGCGCCUCCAUUGUUUGAAAAUAAAUUUGCUGAUUGCGGCACAUCUCUGUUUGCCUUAUAGGAAAAGCAUGAGGAAGCCCCAGAGUGACUUCAGCUGCGUCACAGAGAAACAGCCAGAAAUAAAUGCGCAGACCGCAGUCAGCCUGCAUAUCAGCAUUUUCAAAUAAGUAAAAUAUAACAAUCUUUCUGACAUCGAUGCUUAUUAACAGUUAAUAAAGGAAUUUCUCAAAUCAAGUUCACUCAAGUAGUCUAUUGAUUUUUGCAAAGUCAGUUUAUUUAAGGUGAUUUGCGCUGAGAUAACAACGAUUUACACAUGUGCCAUUUUCCGUUUGGAUUACUGAGCUUCAGACUCUCAAUGUGACAGUCUUACAAAACUAAAUCAUGAAAAUGAUGUUUUGUUGCGGCGCUUCCUGUUUGUCCAGAAUAAACUGCAGCUUCCUCGGCGCACGAAUCCCCCGCUGUAAUGACCCGUAGUGCAAGGCGUCUGCCAAAAUGACCUGAAAUUCUAGGCAGACAUUUUUUUUUAUUCACCGGUAUUCGCGCUUUUAUUUCGCACGUCUAUAAAUAUUCAUCAUAGCGUUGCUUUUAGAGGAGCAGAGGAGGAGCGACAACUGUGUGAACCGGCGCGACGGCUGUACUUCAACCAUAUGAAAAUUUUUACUUUCCUUGUGGGUUUCAGUACCGAUCCGAGCGCCUCCGGAGAGGCGACAGUUUGCGCACUAGAGAAAUAACAGCGACACGUUCGUGCGGCUACUACGCCAAGAGGGAAAACAACAAAGUGGGAAGGAAGCAAAAUCCGCAAAGCCGGUACGAGAACACUAACUCGGUGUGUUUUAUGUAGGUGCAACAGGGCAGAAGAUGUAAGAAAAUUCGCUCGGCGACACGUCUGCACCGAAACUUUAUGAACACAAAGAGGUUUCCGUGUCUUCGUGGGUGACGGCUGACAGUAUCAUCGGAUAGAAGAAAGUGACCUCUCGGUUAACAUAUUAGGUUUCACUUAACUAUUAAAACACAAACAGCAAAAUAGCUGAGCUGCCGUGUGCGCGUACGGCAUUACUCGCUAUCCCUCGUAUGGUUCUUCUGCAAAACCAAGUGGUGUCGUGCGCCAUCUCCAGUCCUGGGAGUCUCAUAGUAGCGUGCCAAACAUAUCCAUUAGUGUCCGUAAUUGCCCAUUAUCACAAGAAUUAAUGGGAGAAAAGUUCAAGCCAGCUAGCCAGAGUGGAUAAAAAUCUCCCACGCCGGCGUCAUCGCCUGACAGUAGCCGUCGGUCCGCCCAGUGGGAGGAACCAAUGCUUUAAAGCCUAUUACAGCUCUUGAACGACCUCUGUAUGUCAAGAGGAGCAUUUCCAGUGGCUACCCAUGAGGCUUUCUUUGUGCUCAAUGAAAAUGGGAAAUGUGUGCAGCAGUCUUUUAUGAAACAUCGAAACAUAAAUGGAAAUGCAGUAUAUAAGGCAAAA